rnacentral:rRNA from 1 species
UACGGGGGGGGCAAGCGUUGUUCGGAAUUACUGGGCGUAAAGGGCUCGUAGGCGGCCAACUAAGUCGGAUGUGAAAUCCCCAGGCUUAACCUGGGAACUGCAUCCGAUACUGGAUGGCUUGAAUCCGGGAGAGGGAUGCGGAAUUCCAGGUGUAGCGGUGAAAUGCGUAGAUAUCUGGAGGAACACCGGUGGCGAAGGCGACAUCCUGGACCGGUAUUGACGCUGAGGCGCGAAAGCCAGGGGAGCAAACGGG